rnacentral:rRNA from 2 species
UUCGCAAUGCCCGAAAGGGUGACGAGGCGACGCCGCGUGCGGGAAGAAGGCCUUCGGGUUGUAAACCGCUGUCGGGAGUUAAGAAAUGUAAGGAUGUUAAUAGCAUCUUUGCUUGACUAAGGCUCCGGAGGAAGCCACGGCUAACUCUGUGCCAGCAGCCGCGGUAAUACAGAGGCGGCAAGCGUUGUUCGGAAUUAUUGGGCGUAAAGAGCACGUAGGCGGCUAUGUAAGUCGGUUGUGAAAGCCUUCCGCUCAACGGGAGAACAGCAUCCGAUACUGCAUGGCUUGAGUGCGGGAGGGGAGAGUGGAACUUCUGGUGGAGCGGUGAAAUGCGUAGAUAUCAGAAGGAACGCCGGCGGCGAAAGCGGCUCUCUGGCCCAUAACUGACGCUGAGUGUGCGAAAGCUAGGGGAGCAAACGGGAUUAGAUACCCCGGUAGUCCUAGCCGUAAACGAUGGGCACUAAGUAGAGGGGUUUU